AUGUGGUCUAGUUUACCCUGGUUCGGGUGGCAUGUAGCCGUGGCUAUAUUCUUCCCCUUUGCAGCUCCUUACUUGAAUAUGGGUCCUCUGACUAAGGCUACCAUUGCUGUUAUCCAGCUUGCGUUAUGGGUCGAGAAGGUGAGGAAUUCAUGGGUUUUUAACUUCCUCCGGAAUGUGGGCACAUGGAUAAACAGCUAUCACACACUGAGCACAUGUUUUUGGGGUUAUGUUAACAAUGGUACCUUCUGUGAGGAAAUGACACCAGGGGAAGUUUUCUCCCAACCCCUCAACCAGUUCUUUGGGCCCACCCCAUCAAUUUUCGAAGGGUUUAAAUUCCCUCUGAAUACUAACCAUCUGCUGCUGAUAGGCCUACUCUAUUUAGCAUUCAAGGAUAAGUUGAGAUUGGCUUGGAUAUCUACCCGGACACCAGCCCCAGAGACUAGAGAUCCUACCCCAGAGCCUGAUCCUGCCCCAGAACCUGACAUGGCCCCAGAGAGUAGAGUUCCUACCCCAGAGCCUGAUCCUGCCCCAGAGCCUGACACGGCCCCAGACACUAGAGAUCCUACCCCAGAGCCAGAGCCUGCCACAGCCCCAGACACUAGAGAUCCCGCCCCACAGACUGAUACUGCCCAACAGUCCACCUCAGAAAUGGACUACCCAAACUGGGUGGGGGUACUGGCAAAAGGGAUGCAGGAGAUGUGCCAAGAGAUGGGUCAGGUGCGCCAGGGGAUAUGCCAGGAGAUGGGUCAGGUGCGCCAGGAGAUAUGCCAGGAGAUGGGCCAGGUGCGCAAGGAGAUGUGCCAGGAGAUGGGCCAGGUGCGCCAGGAGAUAUGCCAAUUGCUAAGGGAAUACACCUCCUCAGCUAGUGAAAAACCCUCUCCCUGCCCCAAAGAGGGUGAGUCCGAUGGUGCAGCAGUGGAACCCACGGAUGUUACAACCAUCCAGGCUUCAGCUGAACCACAAGGACAACCACAGCCAGCAGCAGUCGCCCCUGUGCAAAGGAGGAAGUAUAAGACCAAAUCAGUACGACCAGUUAAUGAUGAUGGGCAACCAGGGCCCUCACAACCAGCAGGAGAGCCAGAGCCAGAAGUCAUCACUGAGUCCCUGUCGCACGACAGUCUCCGUGCUAUGCGAAACGACAUUGUGCGAAGGGGGCGUGAGCCUUAUACCACCUGGCUGCUUCGGGUUUGGGACCUUAUGGGCACAAGUGUGCAACUGGAUAGUGGUGAGGCAAGGUAUCUGGGAUCGUUGACCCAGGACCCAGGUGUGGACCAGAUAUUUGUGAGGGAGCCAGGGCCUCUCUCUCUUUGGGAGCGGCUCUUAAUGAGUGUGAGAGAAAGGUUCAUUCACAAAGAAAGAAUGCAGGAGUAUCAUCAUAGAAUGCAGUGGAAGACACUCGAGCAAGGGAUCCAACAGCUAAGAGAGGUGGCAAUAUUAGAGGUACUCUUUGGGAAGGAUGGACAGCAUGAUAAUGACCCCGAUAAGGUCAGGUGCACAGGACAGAUGAUGUGGAACCUGGCAAGGCUAGGGCCAUCACAAUACACCACCUUCAUUGCAACGAUUGAUGCUGACAAUACCCGAGAAACAGUGGGCUCUGUUGCCAACAGGCUCAGGCAUUAUGACAGCAUGAUCAAUGGCCCGCUAAAAGCUCAUGUCUCUGCUGUGGUCCAGGACCUCAAAGAGGAGAUGAAGGAGAUGAGGGAGGAGAUGAGGGAGGAGAUGAGGGAGGAGAUGAGGAGGGUCAGCGUGGCACCAGUGCGAGUCACAGGCCCCCAAGUCAGAGCCCGUCGUCCCCCUGCGAGAGAGAGAGGGUACACCCCACGAGCUGAGCUGUGGUUUUUCCUGUGUGAGCAUGGGGAAGACAUGAGAAGGUGGGAUGGGAAACCCACCUCUGCCCUGGCAGCGCGGGUGCGUGAACUCAAGGAGGGAGGCACUAACCGAGGGGGUUCCGCUAAGGUGAAGGUAGCCUCAGCCUCCCGUGACCGAGCUGCCAGGCAUUACAGAAGGGAGGAUGAUAUGUCGGAUCCCCUUGAAGGUACCUCGAGCAUGUACGCCCAGGGAAAGAAUGAUAACCAGGGCUAG
rnacentral:lncRNA from 13 species